GGCCCCGCCUGGCUAAGAUGCUCCUCGUCGGCUGUGAUCGCUGGCGCUGGGUUUGUUUUCCCAGCGUAGCCAGGCCUGGGAGGGAGCGACUACCGCUUCCCUGUUGAUCAUGAGGGGCUCCGGGUCCUACUGAGGUAGUGCACUGUGUUUACUAUGGCAUCAGUGAUCCCAUCAUUUAUCUUCAAGGAGUUUUGCCCCUUGUACUACCUUCUCAAUGCCAUUCCUACAAAAAUCCAAAAAGGAUUUCGUUCCAUUGUGGUUUACUUGACUACACUUGACACUAAUGAGGACUAUAUAGCUGUUGGCAGCAGUAUUGGCAUGCUGUAUUUGUACUGCAGGCAUUUGAAUCGGAUGAAAAAAUACAAUUUUGAGGGGAAGAAUGAAUCCAUUACCGUUGUGAAACUCUUAAACUGCUUUGAUGAUCUUGUUGCAGUGGGAACAGUUUCAGGCAAGAUUGCUAUUUUUCAGCUAGUUUCUUCAUUACCUGGGAGAAACAAACAACUUCGGAGAUUUAAUGUGUCUGGUUUUCACAAAAGUAGCAUUACAGCCUUGGCAUGGAGUGCUAAUGGAAUGAAGUUAUUUUCUGGGGAUGACCGAGGAAAAAUAGUUUAUUCUGCUUUGGAUUUAGAUCAGGGUCUUUGCAAUUCCAGUUUGAUAUUGGAAGAACCAUCUUCAAUUGUUCAGCUAGACUAUAGCCAGAAAGUGUUGUUGAUCUCCACUUUACAACGAACUGUAGUUUUUUAUACUGAAGAAAAAUCUGUCAAACAAGUGGGAACUCAGCCCAGAAAAAGUACAGGCAGAUUUGGUGCCUGUUUUAUACCUGGGCUGUGUAAGCAAAGUGACCUAAUGCUCUUUGCUGCAAGGCCUGGGAUUCGCCUUUGGAAAUCAGAUGUUCAUGGGACGGUUCAAGCCACAUAUCUUUUGAAAGAUGUAUUUGCUGCUGGAAUGAAGCCUUUUGAAUUAUAUCCUCGAGCGGAUUCCUUUAACAAGAGCAGCUGUAAUUUUCCAGAAAGACAGUUUGGACUCAUUUCCUGCUUUUCCCAAGAAGGAUGGGUAUUGAGCUGGAAUGAAUAUAGCAUUUAUGUGUUAGAUACAGUAAACCAGACCAUGAUUGGCAGUUUGGAAGGGUGUGGUGAUAUAGUAUCUGUGUCCUGUACUGAAAAUGAGAUAUUCCUUUUAAAGGGAGACAGAGAUAUCAUUAGAAUCUCAAGCAGGCCUGAAGGAGUGGUGUCAAUAGAUAUAAAUUCACAAGCUUGGACCAGCUUGGAAUCCAAUGUGAGCCCAAAAUUAGAGAGGCCGCAUUCAGUAAUUGCUUCAGUCUCAUGUGAUCCCUCUCCAGAAGCAAAUCCCAAAUCAAGCAACUUCUCUUCACCCCAAACACCUAGUGACAAAAAUGGCUUUGUAGGAAGAGCUGACCAGGAAGUAGCAUUGAUAGCACAGAAAAUUCGCUCACAGAGCUUUGAUGGACUAGGGGACUUGAGCACUGACCCAAGAAGAAGAGGCUACUCUGUAGUCAGUGAGUCAAGAAGCAGGAGCAGCUCUAUGAAUUCUGUGGACAGUGGCUCCAGUUCCUUGACCAAUGGGGAUCAAACAUCAUUAGAAACACAGAGAGUAGAUCCACAAAUUUCACAAAGGUUGAGCCUGAUCAGCUCAGAAGAUUUCAACCAGGAACUGAUUAUAAAACCAAUCAAAGUGAAAAAGAAGAAAAAGAAAAAGCCAGAAAAUGGCACCAGGAGAAAUCCUACCUCUCUAGAAAGCACACCAUCUUAUGAACAGCAAGCCUUCGCUGAUAGUCUUCAGAUUCUAAAUGUGAAAUCAUGCUCCAUUAGUUCUAGCCUCCAAGGCAGCACCACAGACUGUUUAAGCAUCUGUUCUGUGUUCAGUAUGGAUACACAAAAUGAUACUGAAGCAUUCAGUGCCCUUCAGUCUCUGGAGUCGAUAGUUGCUCUAACACCGGAUGGCAGCCAGGAGGCACUAGAACUGCUAAAACUUUCUAAUUGUAACAAUGAAGAUUUGUCACCUGUUACGAAUUCCUGCUUGCUUCUUGUGGAAAACAAAAUAGGUAAUGAUGAUAGUGAACACAACCGGAACCUCCUGUCUGAAAAAAUAGAAACCGGCCCAAAACGGAUAUUGCCAGAUGAAGAGCAUUUUCCUCUCCUAUGUAAAACAAAGUGCACUUUAAAUGAAUUACAUCUGCUGGAUACUUCGGCUUCCCUAGAAGAGACCAACUCUGCAAAAGGGAUAUCUGUAAAUAGGGACACUUCUUUUUACACCGAUGAAUUGUUUGUUCAGAGUGAAGUUGCUCAGGUAAUGGAGCAGCAACCAUCUUUACGAUCCAGAGUCCCUGGAAAUCCUCCUGAGCAUUAUCCUGCUGUUUCUGAAAAAGAAAUAAAUCCUCAAGAGAGGCUGCUACCUGGACAAGAUUUCAAAGAAGGAAUCAUCACUGAACAUGGCAGUGGAUGGAUGAGUAACUCUCACAGUGCUAGAGCUGAGAGAUAUGCAUCAAGUGAUGAAGAGGACAUCUAUGGGCAUGGCUUGAUUUAUUCAUCUUCUGAGACAAAUGUGACAGAAAUGGAAGUUUGCCAUCUUCCGCGGGAUAAAGUCAGGUCAAGUGUUGAGAAAGAGAUGCUUUCAAAAUCUGAUCAGUUUGCAGAAAGUUGGAUGGGAUAUGCAGGUCCUGGCUAUGGAAUACUGAGCCUAGUUGUCUCUGAUAAAUACAUUUGGUGCUUGGAUUACAAAGGUGGCCUGUAUUGUAGUGCAUUACCCAGUGCUGGGCUGCGUUGGCAGAAGUUUGAAGAUAAUGUCCAGCAGAUGGCAGUCUCUCCUUCAGGGGCUCUUUUAUGGAAGAUUGAGCAAAAAACCAAUAAAGCUUUUGCCUGUGGCAAAGUAACUAUCAGAGGAAAACGUCACUGGUAUGAGGCUUUACCUCAAGUAGCAUUUGUAUCCUUGAGUGAUGACACAGCCUGGAUAAUCCGAACAAAUGGUGAUCUGUAUUUACAGACAGGCCUCAGCGUAGAUCGUCCCUGUGCCAGGGCAGUAAAAGUAGACUGUCUAUAUCAACUAUCACAGAUUACAGCCAGAAAUAAUAUAAUUUGGGCAUUAACGGAGCAACGUGUACUUCUCUUUCGUGAAGGUGUAAGCAGUUUGUGUCCUGAAGGAGAGCACUGGAAAUGUGAUAUCAUAAGUGAAAUACAAGGUCUAGAGCCAGUGUGUAUUACUCUUGGAGACCAGCAGACCAUCUGGAUUUUAGAUGUCCAUGGGAACCUGUGGUUUAGAACUGGUGUUGUUUCAAAGAAACCACAAGGGGAUGACAACCACUGGUGGCAAGUAAGCAUUACCGAUUAUGUUGUGUUUGACCAGAGCGGCCUUUUCCAGACAAUAAUCCAUGCAACACAAACAGUAGCAACAGCAGCCCAGGCUCCUGUUGAGAAAGUGGCAGACAAACUGCGCACAACUUUCUGGUCACAACAACUUCAGUGUCAACCAAGCCUACUUGCAGUCAAUAGCAGCGGUGUCUGGAUUUCCUCUGGGAAGAAUGAAUUUCAUGUAGCAAAGGGAAGCCUCAUAGGUACAUAUUGGAAUAAUGUUGUGCCUCGGGGCACUGCUUCAGCUACAAAAUGGGCUUUUGUGUUAGCUUCUGCAGCUCCAACAAAAGAAGGAAGUUUCUUGUGGUUGUCCCAAAGUAGCAAGGACCUGUUUUGUGUUAGUGAUCAGAAUCCUCAGUUCCAUCCUUCAACUGUUCAGCUCCCUUCUGAUAGUGAAAUGGUCUACUAUUCAGCUUGCCGGGAUGCAAUAUGGAGCUUGAAUAAUCUGGGACAGGUCUUCAUAAGGACACUUUCACCAAAUUGCCCAACAGGAAUGCAUUGGACCAAACUGGACCUUACUCAGUUAGGUGCUGUGACACUUACAAGCUUAGCAUGUGGAAAUCAGCACAUCUGGGCCUGUGACAGCUAUGGUGGGAUUUAUUUCCGAGUUGGAACUCAGCCUCUGAAUCCAAAUUUGAUGCUGCCUGCAUGGAUAAUGAUUGAGCCACCCAUCCAGUGAUGGGGAUGAAGUGCACAUACAGCCUAGGAUUUCUUUGAAAUAUGAAGCUCUGCAAGUAUAGUUUUCUCCCAUUUGAUGUAUUUCCUAACUUACAAAUCAAUUUGCCAAUGAAGUGCUACAUUUUCUUACUCAUUUUAACACUCCAAAAUUAUGUUCUGCUGGCCAUACUUACACAAUCAUAAAUCUGCAACCUAAAGAUAGUGUCAUCUUGCUCAAAUUUUCUCAAGUUUCUUAGAUUAAUUUAGCCUUACCUCUGCUGUUGAGUCUGGCCUGGGGAAUAACUGGUAAUUAAAUGAUUACUGAAGAAUGUGAUCUAUUCCCUUCAUUGGUUCUUUUGGUGGUUAUGGGAUGGCUCUGGUUUUCUCCCAUGUGAAAACAAAUAUAAUAUAUAUAAUAUAUUUGUUUUCUAUCCUGCUUGUAUUGUUCAUAAAUUAAGAACAGUAAAUGUCAUACAGGGAAUAACUAGGAUAUUGAAGAGUUUUUUUAUAACACUAUAAACUCAUUCUGUUUUUUUCUUAAAAUUACAAGCAAGCUGGAUAGCUUCCUUUUACUCUAUGAGAACUGCACAUUUUAAAAUCACUGGUUAUUUUUGAUUGAAAAUUUUAUUUUCUACACUAGCUUUCAAAAAUCUCAAAAGUAACCAAUUAUCUGUGCUAAUUCAGUAACAUUUAUAUAAUUCAGCACUAUAUACUGUAGUUUUACAGAAAUUCUUCUUGGGAUUUACAAAUUAAGCCUGAUUUCUUUUUUCCUUUUACAAAUUCAAGUAUUAUAUGGCUAUAAUAGCAGAGGAAGUUUUAUUUUUUUAAUAGUUAUUAUAUGACACUGUUUAGAACCAUAGAAUUCUAAAUUCAGUCAGUAUUUGCAAAGUAUCACAUCAUUAUUGAUCAAUUUAUCUUGUGCUUAAAGCACUUCAAUCAUAUACGCACACUUCAUAUUUUUAAAUUAAUAUAGGGUUCCAUUCUAAAAUGACUUACGGUAAAUGUUUAUCAAAAUAGAAACUGCUAUCAUUUUUCCCCCUUCGCUUCUCAUAUCUUUACGCCUCCCCCCUCCACACAUUUCCAGACAUUUGAAGGGACCUUUCUAUACUAUAUGAAAUAGAGCUGGUAAGACAAGCAUUUCUCUUCUCAAUUUAAGUUAACUGAUCUUAAAAUCCAAAAAGCAAUUUGAAGAAGUUCUGAGCUACUUCAGCGAUCUAGAACAUGCUAUAUUACAUUGGAGAUCAGGAAACUUUCUUCAACAGGCAGGUUUUUUAAGGGAUGCAUAGAUUAUUUUAACUCAAAAUCUAAGCUCCAUUUAUCUAUCAGUGUUGGCUUAAUCAGUAAAUGAUACAAUAUUGAAUAUUACAUUAUAGUAUUAUGUUAUGAUCUCUACUGCUUUAUCAAGGAGUUACUGUAAUUGGAUAGCCUUAAGCAAUAUAAGCCCUCAGUUUAUUAUUGCCUAGGGCUAAAAGUUUAAACAUAAUCUCUCAUUAUUGCAGAAAUAUAAAAAUUAACAAAUGAAUUGAUAAUUCCAGGAGUAAAGGCAUUAGCCUAGAACAGGGGUGUCAAACUGCCGGCCCGCAGGCCGGUUUCAUCAUACCAAAGCCGCGCCCACCCCAUUGCCGGCAAUGCAAAAAGUCAUGAUGUGGCAAGUUUGACAACUGUGGCCUAGAAGCUGGGAGACUGUAACGUCCACUUUAGGCAUGAAACCAGCUGUGUGACCUUAAACUAGCCACAUUCUGUCAGCCAUAGGAAAGAAGGGCAUUUCUGCUUGCCGAUAAACUGCAGGAACAGAAUUUAUCAUUAUUGCAGAAUUAUUAUAAUUAACAAACGAAUUGACAGUUAGAGCCACUGAGAUGAAACAACUUCUGUUUGUUGAAAGCUAGGGCAGCAUUAAACAAGAGAAAAAUGAUACUUAAUAUAACACUUAUUGCCUUGUUUAUGGAGAAAUGAUAAAUGAUGCUGUUUCCAAUGUGGGAUUUCCCCCCCCCACACACACACAAACACAUAUGUCUCAAUAUGUGAACAUGAAGGCCAUGAUUUAUUUGCAUAGGCAAGAAAACUUUAAGCAGGGAAAGAAAACUGAAAUAUAAUUUAUACUCUGGGAAUAAACUUUUAAUAGUCCAAUCUGAGAGAAUGCUGAAGUAAACAGGAGUGUUUAAGUUAGCAGGAUAUAUAGAAUCUUUCACAUCUAAGAUUUUUUAAGACCUGUUGAUGUUUGUGUUAACAAUUCUGUUCUUGAAGCAUACCAUCAUAUAAACAGUUGCUUUCCCAUUCUGUCUUAAAACUUCCUAAAAGGGGGCAAAUGCACCAACCUAAGAUUUUAGAAUAAAUGGAAGAACUCACCUUAUUUAUUUUUUUUUCAAAUAAAGUAGAAAGCGUAGACUAACGCCUUCAUGCCAUAGAGCAUGGGUCUAUUAAAAGGUUUUAAGAUGACACUCAUGUGUCAGUGGGAGCACAUGUUCCGAGUAAAUUUUCCUUCGGGUACUGAAUUUUACUUUGAAAAUGAAGUAUGUAAAAUGAGAUUGCAGGGUAAGCUCAGUGAGGGAAUAUUCUCAUUAUAGCAGUGAUUGGGCAGUACUAUCCUUGAAGUUUGAUGGAGUUGCAAAUUGUAUUUAUUUAAAAUGAAACCUUACUACCUUUAGCAGCUGGUUUUUCUCUUACUCAUUUUAUUUUCUCCUUAAUUAUCUACUUACUAUAUUUAUGUAUGUGACUAAUUCCUGCUAUUAAUUUUUUAUUGGUACAACAAUUUUAGCUUACUUUUCUUUAAAAAAUAAUUCCAAAUUGUUGUGAUAAAACCAACCAAUAAAGCCAUUGAAAAUUUAAAACAAUACAACAUUUUGAAACCAACAGUCAUAAAACAGGAUCAAAAAAAUUGAAAUGUGCUAAUACUGUAGUAUAAGGUCAGCCAAAAGGCUAAGUCAGUCAAUAGAUCUUUAACUGUACUAAAAGCUAACAAACUUGGUGCUAGCCAUAAUUAAACAAAGAAACAAUUCCAUCAUCAGUGUGCCCCUCUCUCUUCCCCUCCCCCCUCUCUCUCACACACACCAAUGCUUCCCAAUGUCAAACUUCAGUGUCUUCAAUAUAGAUAUGCAUAACAUAAUAAAAUAAUAUACGUAUAGAUUUUUAUAUAAAUAUGGCCCUAUUUCAGCAAGAUUAAAUUUAGAACACUUUAAGGGGAGAUAAACAACUUGUAGCUCAGAGCUGUUUAUGCAUAUCAGUUGCAACCCUCCCCCAGGUUCUCAGUAGCAUAAUGGUUAAUUUUAGUGGCUAUUUUAUUACUGGAUGUUGGUGGCACUAAUUUUAGCUGUUUUAAGUAUGGAAAUGUGAAAGAUACUUCCCAGGGGGUUACAGUUCCCAUUCUUGCUCUUAAUGUGGUCCUCAAAACUGGUCCAAAAUUACUACAUUCUGGUGAUCCCAUAUGCAGAGGAAUGUAUUGCAGCCUCGAUUCAUAAAAUUGCUGACCUCUGUUUUGGGUCUGUUUUCUAUAUUUUAAAGGAUGAAAUAAUAAUGUAUUUCUUUCUGCUGGACAGGUGAAAAUUGGAAUAGACAGGUGCAAGUAGAAAACUGCAAGAAGGCAACUAUAUUCUUGGCAACCUUCAGUUGGAUUCCUUUUAAACAGUUGAACUUCUGCUCAUGUGGUUUUCAUCCAGGUUCUCAGUUAUAAAAGAGAGAUUAAAUUGUUUUGUGAUUAAAAAAAGGAUUAAAUAGGCUGUUUACUUUUCCCCCCUUUAAAGCUCCUUUGCAUUUAAAAAGUAGGGAUUAGCUAUUUGGAAACAUAAUUUAAGUGAUAAUGUAGAAUUAAUCAGAACUUGAACUUAAGAGUAGCUAGAAUAGCAAGUACCACUUAACUAUUCUGCUUUCUAAUGUUAGUCCCUUUGUUAUCAUAAACAAUAAAUAAAUAAAGGUUUAACAUAUCUUUAUGGUCCACAGCAAAAAAUACCUAGUGAUGAAGGACAUUGAAAAUCCAUAUUUGAAUUUGGACUAUCAAACCAAGCCAGUGGUGGGAUUCAAAUAUGUGAACAACUGGUUCUCUGUGUGGAUGCCGCUUCCGGAAGUCCAUUCUGGGCCUGGGAAAUAAAAAAUUAGCUACCGGUUCUGCUGAAGUGGUGCAAACUGGCUGAAUCCCACCACUGGAUCAAGCUAUAUAUUUCAUCUCUGCUGGAAUAUAAUUAGAGAGCCAGUUUUUUUAUAGUGGUUAAGGUGCCAGGCUAAAACCUAGGGGAAUAUCCGUUCUAGAAAAAAAAAUGGUGUCAGGGUUACCUGUAGCUCUGGGAUCUCAGUUGAAUGAAGUUCAUGAAAGCUUAUGUGGCCUUUUCAGGUUUUCUGUACAAAGUAGUGUGGGAGAUGAAAAUAUAGCCCCCUUCUCAUAUAAUAAGAUAGGGCUAGAACAAACCUGAAAUAGGCCCCCACAGAAGUGAUUUGAAGCUUUAACUUGAACUUUAUGCUGUUUCUCAAUAAGGACGUACUAUUUGUAAUCUGCUGAGUUUUGUGCAAUAGAAAUUGUAAAGUAGGUAAUUCUGUGUAUAUUUAGAACAUAAGGACUGGAACAGUAAGAAAUAGGGAACUGAAAGUAGCUGAUGGAUGCGAGUUCCAAUGUACACGGAUAUAUGUGGAUAGUUAUGUUCAGCAGAAGGUCAACAAAAGUCAGCAGACCAUCUGACUACAGUCUUAGAAUGGGAAAGGGUAUAAAGAGUUGGGUCUGGACCUGAUUGAUUUGCCAUUGGCCUGUAGCUGUCCUUUUGGAAUUGCUAUACCAUAUAGUCCUCAUUGCAAUGGGUUAUUAAUGCAGCCGGAGUCCACUUGAUCAGUGUGUACUCAAGUCCUAAUGAUCAGAGUCUAUGGGCCAUUGACAACAAAUGGAAUGUUCAUGUGCGCACUGGGAUUACAGAGGAAAUGCCAGUAGGCACAAAUUGGGACCAGGUUCC